AUGGGCGUGUUGAGUGGUGAUAAGAAUGUGUGUGUUGGCAGGCUCCGUGCUGGUGCAUCGAACUGCUUCCCUCACUUUCCAUCAAGUUUUGCUCCAUGAGCUAAUGUGGAUGCAAAAAGCGGGUUCCUGUGUUGCAUACCCUAUUGCGACGGAAAUUUGUGCCUGUUGUUGUCCCUUUUCAAUGCGACACCCUCUUUGGGUGCUCGGUUGGACUAGAUAGUGGGGCUCGUGUUCCCCGAACAUCUCAUUUGAUGGUUCGGAUGGAUCUCGAGUGCUUACUUGUUCUCUCGGAUGCGGAAAUUCCUUCAUGGGUGUUGGGGUCAUCGGCCCUUCUUCCCAAUCUCAAGCGUUUAUCGCUUUUUUACUGGAAUGACGCUCUUGCCUUGUCUUUGACCACGCGAAGCUCUCGAGCUCCACGAUGGAUCAUGCUUGGCGGACGUCGUGAAGGAAUGCUACCUGGUUGAUCCUGCCAGUAGUCAUAUGCUUGUCUCAAAGAUUAAGCCAUGCAUGUGUAAGUAUGAACUAAUUCAGACUGUGAAACUG
rnacentral:misc_RNA from 1 species